GACGAACGCUGGCGGCGUGCUUAACACAUGCAAGUGGAGCGACGAACCAGGGCUUGCCCUGGGGCAAAGCCGCGAACGGGUGAGUAACACGUGGGUAACCUGCCCAGAUGACCGGGACAACCCGAGGAAACUCGGGCUAAUACCGGAUGUGCUCUUCCUACAUCAGUGGGACGAGGAAAGGUAGCUUCGGCUUCCGCAUCUGGAUGGGGCCCGCGGCCCAUUAGCUUGUUGGGUGGGGUAAUGGCCAACCGAAGGCGACGAUGGUAGCUGGUCUGAGAGGACGAUCA
rnacentral:rRNA from 1 species